rnacentral:tRNA from 1 species
UGCCCUGUAGUGUAAUUGGCAACACUUGGGACUUUGGUUCCCACAUUUCAGGUUCGAGUCCUGGCAGGGCAGC